GAUGAACGCUGGCGGCGUGCCUAAUACAUGCAAGUAGAACGCUGAAGGAGGAGCUUGCUCUUCUGGAUGAGUUGCGAACGGGUGAGUAACGCGUAGGUAACCUGCCUGGUAGCGGGGGAUAACUAUUGGAAACAAUAGCUAAUACCGCAUGACAACAGUUAUUGCAUGAUAACUGUUUAAAAGGGGCAACUGCUCCACUACCAGAUGGACCUGCGUUGUAUUAGCUAGUUGGUGAGGUAACGGCUCACCAAGGCGACGAUACAUAGCCGACCUGAGAGGGUGAUCGGCCACACUGGGACUGAGACACGGCCCAGACUCCUACGGGAGGCAGCAGUAGGGAAUCUUCGGCAAUGGACGGAAGUCUGACCGAGCAACGCCGCGUGAGUGAAGAAGGUUUUCGGAUCGUAAAGCUCUGUUGUAAGAGAAGAACGAGUGUGAGAGUGGAAAGUUCACACUGUGACGGUAUCUUACCAGAAAGGGACGGCUAACUACGUG
rnacentral:rRNA from 1 species